GAUGAACGCUGGCGGCGUGCCUAAUACAUGCAAGUCGAGCGAACAGACGAGGAGCUUGCUCCUCUGACGUUAGCGGCGGACGGGUGAGUAACACGUGGAUAACCUACCUAUAAGACUGGGAUAACUUCAGGAAACCGGAGCUAAUACCGGAUAAUAUAUUGAACCGCAUGGUUCAAUAGUGAAAGACGGUUUUGCUGUCACUUAUAGAUCGAUCCGCGCCGCAUUAGCUAGUUGGUAAGGUAACGGCUUACCAAGGCGACGAUGCGUAGCCGACCUGAGAGGGUGAUCGGCCACACUGGAACUGAGACACGGUCCAGACUCCUACGGGAGGCAGCAGUAGGGAAUCUUCCGCAAUGGGCGAAAGCUUGACGGAGCAACGCCGCGUGAGUGAUGAAGGUCUUCGGAUCGUAAAACUCUGUUAUUAGGGAAGAACAAAUGUGUAAGUAACUAUGCACGUCUUUACGGUACCUAAUCAGAAAGCCACGGCUAACUACGUG
rnacentral:rRNA from 1 species